rnacentral:rRNA from 1 species
UACAGAGGGUGCGAGCGUUGUCCGGAAUCACUGGGCGUAAAGGGCGCGUAGGCGGCUUGAUAAGGUUGCGGUGAAAGCCCGGGGCUCGAACCCCGGGUCGGCCGUGGCAACUGUCGAGCUGGAGCACUGUAGAGGCAGGUGGAAUUCCGGGUGUAGCGGUGGAAUGCGUAGAGAUCCGGAAGAACACCGGUGGCGAAGGCGGCCUGCUGGGCAGUGGCUGACGCUGAGGCGCGACAGCGUGGGGAGCAAACAGGAU